UGGAGGCUGCAGUGAAGUAGGAAAUGUUUAGUGAUCAGAGGUUGCUAGGACUGAGCAGCUGCCAGUAGAGAACGGGGAUGGUGACUCCAGCGGAUGUCUUGGAUCUGUGCGUUGCCUUGUGCACUCGACUCUACUAGCAAAUUCCCGGCGUGUGUCAAUACCUGUGAGGCUGCAGCGGCUGUUGACGUGGGUGGGCGUAAGGCAGCCUGUAAUGCAGUGGCAGGCGGUGAGCCUCGAGUGCAGCAAACCUCAAACGUCUGAAAACCGGGAAAUGAAGAGUUAUGGUGAACGUCCAGGCAUCCAUAACUGUGCCCGCCCUGCCCACCUCCGAGCUAGGUGUAGCUGUCCUACCUGGCACCUCUCACCCCCGGCAAUUAGUGACAGCCCCACAGCAGCAGCGAAAGCAGAGCUGUCAGCUGAAGAGAAGCACGUUGGUUUCGGCUCUGCUGGAGAGACCUCCCCGUCUGCCAAAUGCAGGAGCCCUCCAGAAGGGAAUGGUGCAAGGGAAGGGAAAAUUAGA